CAAGGUUCUUCCACUGCACCUGUUCUACCUUUCCAAUGUCGUCGUCGGAUGCUUCGCCUGUCUGAUCUUUGAUGUAACUGAAGGGAGUGUUUCCUGAACAAUUGCUGGUCACACUGCCGUAAACGCGUCACUAUCACUGGAUGCGUAUCCUUUGAGAUGUGAUUGAUGGGUUUUUCAAGGGUUUGUAAUAAUAAUCUACUAGAUGUUGCCGCUGUGCAGGUGCGUUGUAGACUGCAGAGGUUAACUGGUCCGAAACAAACUAGUUGACUAGCGUCGGUUGAAAAAUUGGGUUCUACAUGAGAGUGGAUCGGUGAUAAUAACAUGUAAAAUUUUUCAAUGUGUAUUAUGAUUAUUUACUUACGUUGUGAAAUUCUGAUUAUUAUUGCAUUAUAUUUCCACGGUUGAUAAAGCCCUUUUCAUUUUCGCUCGUGAUGUCAAGGUACGUGGAAAUUAUUAAAUGCUGAUACUGGUUCUGCAAUUUU